GCGCAUACAAAUAAAAUAGGAAAUGCAUCUCUGAGAUAGCAGGGAUGACGGGCACGUCUCUUAAACAUGAUUCACGCAUCCUUGGCCCUCUUGUUGAGGUUUAACGAUGUCUUCGUGGAUCCACUUCUCCACUUAGCAGCAUUCCAAACACAGUGAGGGGCAUAAAAACCACCUGAAGACACACCCCCUUUGUUAGCAAAAAGCUUAGCAUCUAGCCUGGGAGGAUGUUAGGGACUGAACUGUGUCCCCUCCCACAUUCCUAUAUGGAAGCCCUAACCUCCAGCACCUCCGAAUGACUCCAAAUGAGACUGCCUUUGGAAAUAAGGUCUUUAAAGAGGUGAUCAAGUUAAAAUGAGCUCUUUAGGGUGGGUGCUGAUCCGGUCACACUGGAGUCUUUAUGAGAAGAGGAAAGUUAGAUGCCAGGCGUGUGCAUGCACUAAGAUUAAAAAAAAUAGCCACACAAAAACACAUUGGGAAGGUGGCCGCCUGCAAGCCAGGAGAGAGGCCUCAAAAGAAACCAGCCCCGUGGACACCUUGAUCUUGGAUUUCUGGCCUCCAGAACUGUGAAAAAAUAAAUUUCUGUUGUUUAAGCCA
rnacentral:lncRNA from 10 species